GGGGGUACGUUGUCGGCAUUUUGGGCGUAAGGGCUCGCAGGCGGUUUCUUAAGUCUGAUGUGAAAGCCCCCGGCUCAACCGGGGAGGGUCAUUGGAAACUGGGGAACUUGAGUGCAGAAGAGGAGAAUGGAAUUCCACGUGUAGCGGUGAAAUGCGUAGAGAUGUGGAGGAACACCAGUGGCGAAGGCGACUCUCUGGUCUGUAACUGACGCUGAGGAGCGAAAGCGUGGGGAGCGAACAGGAUUAGAUACCCUGGUAGUCCACGCCGUAAACGAUGAGUGCUAAGUGUUAGGGGGUUUCCGCCCCUUAGUGCUGCAGCUAACGCAUUAAGCACUCCGCCUGGGGAGUACGGUCGCAAGACUGAAACUCAAAGGAAUUGACGGGGGCCCGCACAAGCGGUGGAGCAUGUGGUUUAAUUCGAAGCAACGCGAAGAACCUUACCAGGUCUUGACAUCCUCUGACAAUCCUAGAGAUAGGACGUCCCCUUCGGGGGCAGAGUGACAGGUGGUGCAUGGUUGUCGUCAGCUCGUGUCGUGAGAUGUUGGGUUAAGUCCCGCAACGAGCGCAACCCUUGAUCUUAGUUGCCAGCAUUCAGUUGGGCACUCUAAGGUGACUGCCGGUGACAAACCGGAGGAAGGUGGGGAUGACGUCAAAUCAUCAUGCCCCUUAUGACCUGGGCUACACACGUGCUACAAUGGACAGAACAAAGGGCAGCGAAACCGCGAGGUUAAGCCAAUCCCACAAAUCUGUUCUCAGUUCGGAUCGCAGUCUGCAACUCGACUGCGUGAAGCUGGAAUCGCUAGUAAUCGCGGAUCAGCAUGCCGCGGGUGAAUACGUUUCCCGGGCCUUGUACACACCGCCCGUCACACCACGAAAAGUUUGUAACACCCCGAAGUCGGUGAAGGUAACCUUUUUAGGAGCCAGCCGCCGAAAGGUGGGACAAAAUG
rnacentral:rRNA from 1 species